rnacentral:rRNA from 1 species
GAUGAACGCUGGCGGCGUGCCUAAUACAUGCAAGUCGAGCGAAUGGAUUAAGAGCUUGCUCUUAUGAAGUUAGCGGCGGACGGGUGAGUAACACGUGGGUAACCUGCCCAUAAGACUGGGAUAACUCCGGGAAACCGGGGCUAAUACCGGAUAAUAUUUUGAACUGCAUGGUUCAAAAUUGAAAGGCGGCUUCGGCUGUCACUUAUGGAUGGACCCGCGUCGCAUUAGCUAGUUGGUGAGGUAACGGCUCACCAAGGCAACGAUGCGUAGCCGACCUGAGAGGGGGAUCGGCCACACUGGGACUGAGACACGGCCCAGGCUCCUACGGGAGGUAGCAGUAGGGAAUCUUCCGCAAUGGACGAAAGUCUGACGGAGCAACGCCGCGUGAGUGAUGAAGGCUUUCGGGUCGUAAAACUCUGUUGUUAGGGAAGAACAAGUGCUAGUUGAAUAAGCUGGCACCUUGACGGUACCUAACCAGAAAGCCACGGCUAACUACGUGCCAGCAGCCGCAGUAA